GAUAGAAGGGUGGUGGUCAGACCGCAAAUCUGUGUUUUUGCCUGAUAGAAGGGUGGUGGUCAGACCAAAAACAAAACGAAGAAAAAGAAAUAAGAUCGAAUUUGUAGCUUCAAUGGGUACAGGUUCGUAAGUUUUCUCCUUUCUGCUGCUAUUGAUUUUGUUAGUUUUUGUGUGGUUUGGUUUUUGAUUGGGUCUUUUGUUGUCGGCGGUUUUGAAUUUUUAUGGGUCUUUGAUUGGGUAUUUUGCUGUGAGGAAGAAGAAGACCUGCGCUAGCUGCUAUAUCCUGUCAGUAUAUAGGCGAAUCGAGCUUCAGCUUCGCUGUUCUGUGUGAUCAACUUUUUCCAUCAACGUCAACGAUCGUGAAAGCUUGGUGGGAUUUCGAUUUGGUUAACGCUUUUCUAAGGCGUCAAAUUCUUGAAGCAUCAAAUGAUGAAGAGGUUGUCUUACUCUCAGAGAUGUUUAGGUGAAAAGCGAAAAGCAAACACUAAUGAAUUGUUUUAGCGUUAGCAUGAAUGGGAUUCUCUUUUCUUUUGGCUUACACCUUUGUGCAUAUAUACUUAGAGGAACUAGAACAACUAUUUUUUAGAAGAUUGUCUGGCAGCUACUGUAACUAAGUUAAACUAAGAUAGCCAAUUUGUCAGCAGCUGCUAUCGAUAUUGAAAGUGAUGAUAUUGUACUGUUUUGUCGUAUAUAUGCUGUCCUUUUA